GAAUCUGCAAUGGUGCCGGAAAAUGUACAUGCCGGAAGUGUGAAUGUUACCAUGGAUACAGUGGAGAGAAAUGUGAAUGCAAUAACGAAAACUGUAGGACCUAUGACAAACUACUCUGUGGUGGUCAAGAACGAGGACGAUGCGACUGUGGAACAUGUGUUUGUAACGAAAAUUAUACAGGGGAUGCUUGUGAAUGUUUGAAAUCAGAGGAUCCCUGUAAAAGCAACAACGAAACAAUAUGUUCUGGAAACGGUGUUUGUGAGUGCGGACGUUGUGUUUGUAAAGUUGGCUUCAGGGGGAGGUUGUGCAACAGUUGCACG